UGAAAGUACCCUUAGGGAUGUAAACUACCUUUCGAUCGGGAAGAUAAUGACGGUACCGGAAGAAGAAGCCCGGCUAACUUCGUGC
rnacentral:rRNA from 1 species